rnacentral:rRNA from 1 species
UACAGAGGUCUCAAGCGUUGUUCGGAUUCAUUGGGCGUAAAGGGUGCGUAGGUGGCGGGGUAAGUCAGGUGUGAAAUCUCGGAGCUCAACUCCGAAACUGCACUUGAUACUGCCUUGCUCGAGUACUGGAGAGGAGAUUGGAAUUUACGGUGUAGCAGUGAAAUGCGUAGAUAUCAGGAGGAACACCGGUGGCGAAGGCGGGUCUCUGGGCCGAUACUGACGCUGAGGAGCGAAAGCGUGGGGAGCGAACAGG